rnacentral:lncRNA from 1 species
GCUGGCGGGAAAGGGGGCGGAGGGGAGGAAGGGGAGCUCCCCAAACCUAUGCGGUGGCAGUGGAGGAGAGAAGGGGCACAGCACUUUCCUCCCCUUCUCUCCCCCCUCCGGCACUAAGGCGUGAUAUAGGUCCAGAGAGGACCCCCACCCUCCCGCCCCCCAACCCUGUUCUGCCUGUGUUUGAGGGAGGGAGUGAGUGAGUGUGUGUGAGCGGGAGAGAGAGAAAGCCGAGGAAUUUAGUGAGGACACUAGUAAUUUAUCUGGGGGAUAGGAGAGGCGGAUCCAGCCCAGGGGAGGGGCCCUGCCCGCUGAGCACACCACAUCCCCAAUCACAGACCUUUGCACAGGACAGGGAGUUAGGUAUCCCAGCAAGCGCUUGCAGAGAGCCCAGGACUGGGAUUGAAAUCUUCGCAACUGGAGCAAAGCAACAUUCUCUCUCCCUCUUUCUCUCCUCCCUGUCUUUCUAUCCUCCCCCUUCCUCCUCCUCUUUUCCUUCCCCACUUCCCUUUCCAGCUAGGGCUGCUCUCCUCCUCCCUGCCUCCUCCAUGACCCAGGCGGCUGGUGUCACAAUUCUUGACGAAAGCCAAAAUGGGUCAUGAGCAGAGAUCCACCAGCAAAAGCCUUCCAGGGAGCUUUGUGAUGCGUGCCGUCUAAAUGCUGUCCUGUAACCUAAUCUGAGGGAGAUUUGUGGAUGAUUAUACUGGAGAGUGCAUCCUGUCCAGCUACUAGUGUGUUCCAGGAAAGGAGCACUUGGACCUCGCUAUUGCAGCCUGAGCUCUGGAGACAGGAGGAGCUGACUUUUUCCAGGCUUCUCACUGGACCUCUGGGGGGAAAAUCCAACUAUUCAGCUGUCCAUCUGAGAAUUGGCAUAGCUCUGGGCAAAAAUUCACAACCCAAGGUGUCGCUGUGGCACACAGUGGCUCUGGAGUUAAUCCAUGGUAACCGAAGCCAGAAGAAGGUCUUGUAUUCACCUGUGGGAGCACUGUAUCAGGAUUUCUGCAUGCACUAAACAAAAAACAACUAACCAAACAAAAAUGGUGGAGGGACAAAUUAGUGCCUGAUACAAAUUAUUACUAAUCACCAGUGUGGAGAUUUAUGAGCCUCCUUAUUUUCUAGGCCUGAUUGUUGUUUGUGCAGGUGGAGAUUUAAAUGGCUGCAUCCACUGCAGAGAUUUAUAGUCCAAGUGACUGAUGUAAUAAAUAAGCGAGAGGACUCUUAUUGAAGCA